rnacentral:lncRNA from 1 species
CUUUCUUGCUGGUAGCAGCUGAAUGAAACUUCUUGUUUUGUGAUUAUACUAUUAAUCUAACAUGUGAUAUUAUUAUUAUUACAUCUAUGGCUUUGUUUCUAAGAUACAUAAUUUCUUUCUUACUAGGAAAAGAAAUGUUAGAUCCUUAGUUAAAGUUGCAAUUUAAGCAAAGCUACCUCUUUUCUCCUCUUUGCUCCUUUGGGAAUGACCAAAUCUUCUUUGAGGUUCCUGUGAAUUUGAGUUUUUUCCUCUAUAUAUGAAGUUCUAAUAAGCACAUGCUGCAUUCUCAGAAAUACCUCACUCAUCUCUUUACGUAUUUUAGCACUAUUUAUUUAUUUCAUCAGAAUUUUUUAAUUCUAUUGCAUUAUGAACAGUUGCUUGUCAGUUUGGCAAGACCACUUGUCGAUAAAAGACUUGCUACUAAAUUUAUGCUGAUUGGUUCUUCAAAAAAUUGCUAUUGGAAAAUCUAUAUUUGUGGUAGUAAUUUCUAAAAUUGGUAGACAUGAACUCACUUGGAUAUAUGCGUUUAUACUCAGGCACCAGUGAACUACAAAGAACCAGAUUUCCAGACUCGUGCUUUGCAGCAUAGCAGAGUUAAGCUAACCUGGGAAGAUGAUGAACCAGAACGCAAGAAGAUUUUGAGACGCAAGUUCAAUCCAAAUCAGGUAUUUAAAAAAAAAAAAAUCGCCUACUGAUUUGGUUGCCAACCAUAUAUAGUUGGUAUUUGAGUGGUGAAUGUCUGCUCAUUCAGAUCCAUAUAUGGCUCUUUUCUCUUGCUUAGGCCUUGGAUAUGAUUAGCAGUAUUGUUUUCUUUCUCAGUAAAUAGGCCUAUUUCAAUAGCUCAAUGCUAUUCAAAAUAACUUCAUCUUAAUAAUUAUAUAAAGUCAUAUAUUUUCCACAUUGUUUUGUUUAUGAGGAAGUUCAAGUAGAGUUUCAUAUGCUUGUAAAACUGUUCUUCAAUGUUCUGAAACGAACUUCACCUUUCUGCACAUAAUUGGUCUUUAUUCCUAGUGUGCGCAUUCUAAUCCAGUUAUGGUGACUUCCUCUUAGUUUCAGCAUCUUGGGGCGUAUGUGAUUGUUUUUUAGUCUAUAUUUAUAAAUAAAAAAAAAUGUAUUCUUGUUAUUUUUUGUCUGAAAAUCCAGUCACUUAGUAUAGUUUGUUUAUCCAUCUGCCUGGUUUGUGUAAUAACUGGAGCCCUUUUUUUGCCCGCUACAGCUCGAUGAGUUCAAUGAAUACUUAGCUUCCACCGAUGAGAGUGAUGAAGACGACGAUGAGUACAAUAACCAAAAUGGUGUUGGCAAUAACGAUGAAGCUGAGGCCAUGCCCAACGGUGAAACCAAGAAGCGCUUAGGAAGAGAGAAACUAUUAGCUCUUCUACAAGCUGGAGAUGAUUCGGACUCGGAUAAAAGCGAUGACAAAGACAUGGAGAUCACUUUCAAUACAGAACUCGAGGAUCUAAGCAAGCGCAUCCUCGAUGAAAAAGACAAAAAAUCAGAGACUGUUUGGGAGGCAGUCCUUAGAAAGAGGAACGAGAAAAAGAAAGCUAGAAAGAAUCAGUCAAAGCACUUAGAUGAUGAAAACAGUGAUUCUGAUAAUGAAGAAGCACCUCAACAAGAUGAUGAUGAUUUCUUUGUUGAAGAGCCUUUAGAUAGUGAAAGUAGCAAGCAAAAGAAGGGUCUGAAGGGUAAAAAAGGCCAAAAAGGCAGUAGAAAAGAUAGAGAUGAAUCUCCUGAGGGAGAGAAGGAGAGAGAAGCGAGUAGGGCAGAAUUGGAACUGCUAUUUGCUGAUGAUCAGGAUGUGGAUCAGGGUCCCAAGGGCUUUAAUUUGAAGCCCAAGAAGGUGAAGGGCAAGAAGGGGAAGGAGAAGUCUUCAGAGGACAAACUUCCGAAUGUAGAUCUUAGUAAUGAUCCGAGGUUCGCUGAACUCUUUUCUUCUCAUCUCUUUGCAUUGGACCCAACGGAUCCAGAGUAUAAAAGGUAAUCUUGAAAACUUUGCUCUACUAUGUUCUCAUUACUGUUUCAUGUUGGUUGUUAAUAUCUAAAGUAAGGACUUAAUUACAAAUUUAGUCCCUGAAGUUCUGAUCGAAUGUCGAUUUACAUAAUCAAAGUUCCAACUUUAACAACUUAGUCAAAAUUUCCUCCUACAUUGAAAGGGAAAAAAAGCAUCAUAAACCUUAAAAGAUGUGAUAGCAAACAGACUUCACUGACUAUUUUAUUUCUGUGAAAUUGAAACUCAAAAGACAGCAGUUGAAAUCAAGGUCAAACUUCCUUGACUAAAGUUCCAACUAAGCCUUCAAUUAGUUUAAGACAACCAUGUUACUUGCUUUUCUUUACAAGGAGUGCUAAAAGUUUGUUAUAUGUGGAUUAAACAGGAGUGCGGCGUAUGUUCGAAAGCGAGCAAAAAAGCAGGGAAAGGAUUCUCAAGAAGAAGAGAUACCGGAACAUAAUUUGCACAAGCCAUCGAAACAAGAUACACCGCCACCUGAAGAGGGACUACCAAAUAUAGACACAGUUCCGCAACCUAGCAGGGUUUCAUUAGAGAAGAAUGAGCUAUCUUCCACCAUUUUGUCGCUUAAAAGAAAUCUAGGAACCUUUAAAAAUGGAACAAAGGGUCGGUAAUGUGUACCCAGCUUCUGCAAGUUUCCGACAGUGCCGAAAAGCAGUUGAAAUUUUGUCAUAGUUGUUUUUUUUUUUCAAAUUUUGUCAUAGUUGUUUUUUUUUUUUUUUUUUUUUUUUUUUCACUCCAAAUUUGUGUAGAACAUCUUGAAUUUUGAUAGAUGUGUUACUUUAUUUUUCUUUAUGAAACUAUCUUGAACUUGUCUUGUAACACUAUCAGGAGCCAAUUUCGCCUUGUACUCCUAUAGCUAGAUUUUAUUUUUAGUUUUAAUUUUUUAUUUUUAAAUUUUAUAUAUAUGUACAUUUGUUGAGUGUAUGUUCAAAUCCACGGAAUAAUUUUUUAAUGCUUAUCUCAAAUUAACAUAAAUUUGUGGAUUAUAUUUAUUGAAAAGUUUACACUCAAAACUUAACAAUAAAAAUUUAAAUUUUAAAAAAGCAAUUAUAUCUGUUAUAUUUUAUUAAAAAUUAUUUGUCAUAUUCUAACUCAAAUUUAGAUAGUUUGACAAAUUAUAAAGUUUUAUCUUUUUAUUUUAUAAAAUUUAAGUUUAAAUAGUGAAUUAAAUUUAACUUUGAAUAUCAAAUUUAAAUUAACAAUUAAGAAAUUUUAAUUAAAGUGGAUUAAAAUUAAAUUUGAAAUUUGAAUUAAAUAUGAAUUAAAAUUUUGAUAUUUUUAGUUUAAAACAUAUACUUCAAUUUUUGGAUUCAUCAGAAUUCAAAAAAAUACAAAAAUAUUUAAUGUAUAAUUAAAUUUUAAUUCUGAGUUUAAGAUGAAAUAAAAGUUUAAAAUCAAAUAAAGAUUAAAAAAUAAAUAGACAAAUUAAAUUUAAAUUUAAUUAUUCUUUUGAGAAAGAGGUAGACGAGCUACCUGCUUCAUUCAUUGAGAGAUGAAUUAGGCAAAACAGUAUGGAAGCAUCUGAGGCUUCCGGGGCGAGAGACAAACAGAGAGAAAGAAAAGAAAAUAAGGGGAGAAAAAAACCAAAGAAAGUCGAAUGAAAAAUGAAAAAGACGGAAAAGAUCAAAAUAAACCCAAAGGUGGGCAAAGUGGGUUAAAGGAGGUGUUGCGCGAGGGUUGAAAUCGCAGGUUCAGUCCAAGACGUCGAAAGUAGGACGGCCCGCUCUAACGCUCUGGUGGCGUUGGGGCUCUUCGAGCGGAAAAUGAGGUCGUUCCUUUCCGUCCAGACGACCCACCAAGUAGCCGCCAGGGAGGUCAGGGCCUUAGACCUUUGCGUUGUGUCUGAAAUUGCGGUGGAUCUGAUCCAGAGAGUCCGGACACAGUUCGAAUCUUCGGCCGGGACGUCCAACAUAAAGAGCAAGAAGCGCGUGAAGGUGCAGUUGGUGAAGAGAUGAUCGCAACGUUCCGAAGCAAAUGCGCAGAAGUUACAAUGCUCGGCGACCUGCAUCCCACGGGCGAUCAGUCUGUCAGCAGUGGGUAGUCUUUUGCGCAGUAGUACCCAAAUGAAGACUUUGAUUUUGUUGAAAAUUUUUAAAGUCUAGAUAUGGUGGUAGGUGGUAUCCUUGAUCCCUGUGUUGUCGAGGAACAUGUAGAGCGAUUUGACUGUGAACAGUUGAUCGGGUGUCCAUCGCUAACUCGGAGUAUCCGGGCAAUUCAUGGGGUUGAAACGAAGGAGUAGGUCUUUGAGAAGUGCGAAAUGUGUGUGGUUGAUGUGUAUUGAAAUAAUCUAAAAAUAUUCAUCUAAAAUGAAAGGAUAUGAAAUACUUUUAAGACUAUCAUUAGAAAAAAAAAAUAAAAAUUUUAUUUUAUUAUAUUACUUAUUUUGUAUUAAAGAGCGAAAAAAUAAAAAAAAAUUUGCUAAAUAAUGGAUUUGUCAACAUACCCAAAUUCAGAAUAAAAAAUUAUUUAACUUUGAAUAAAAAUAAUUUAAUCGUGGAGUGCCUGUUAAAUUUAAAUUUAAAAUUUAAAUUUAUGAAAUUAAACGAACUCGCACAAGGAAAUUUACUCCAUGAUUUUCAUAGAUGUUUCCGGUUUAGUAUGCGACUCGCAUACUACUAAACAUCUGUUUCCUGAAAAUAUAAUGAAACUUCCACGAUUUUCAUAAAUUUAAAUAAAUAAAUCAAUUCGGAGAAAAGAUCCUGUUAAAUUUAUUUAAAGAGAAAAAUAAAAUCAUAGAUUUUUCAUUAUAAUUUCAGGUAGAUAUUAUUUCUACUUUAUCUAUAUUUACAUCUCUAUAUCUAUCUAUUUUCAUAUUAUUUAUUUAUCUGAUAGCCCAAUUUGCAUAAAAAAUUUACUAGUUUUGAGUUUAAAGCAGACAGCUUUUCUGGAUUUAACGGAUUCGAGCCGAAUUUUUAAAAACUAACAACAAUAUCCUUAUUCUUUUUUCUCUCUAUUCUUUUUUUUUUCUUUUUUCUUUUAUUUUUCUUUCUCUCCCAAGAGGCGGAGAUAGAAGCGGCCCCCCUUACCUUUGUCCGGCACAUCCUCACCUGCCUUCCUCGUCUCCGAUGCUACCGAGCCCUCUCUUCUUUUUUUUUCCUCUCGUUUACUCCCUUCGAUCUCCCUCCACUGCAUCCGCGACCCUUCACAACGGUAAGGAAGAUCGCAUCCUCUUACUCCGCCUACAUCCUCCGCCGAUAAGGAAAUAAUGGGUGCAGGGUAAGCGAGUGACCUCGGACCCGGCGUGGAGCUCAGCGAGGCAGAUCGCACACAUCUCAUCCUCCUCCGAUCCUGCUGCAGCCAGCUGCGACAGCUCCAGUCCCUCCAUCGCCGUAGGCAUCAACCGAAGACGAGAGGUCACCGGAAAGGCAGAGAAGACCAUCAGCUCCACGAUUACCGGGAGCUUUCUGCAGAGCGCGUAGCGCGCAUCGCACAGCAUCCAGCCCGCCUGGCAUCCGAAGUGGUUUGCGAUGCAUCUUCGCGUGAACGACGGAACUGCACCCCCCAUGCAUUCUUCGAGCUUCUCGGUCAUGAUCUUGCGGGCCUCCUUAGACACUUCCGUGCUGACGAAUUCCCCGCGAUCGCAGCACAGCUCCGUGCACCGGAUCUCUAGAUACCACCGCAUCCGAAGAUCUACGGGUACGCCCUUUAUCCCGUGUUCUUCGUCCUCUAAGAUGUUCCGAACGAUCAACACGAUGCCAAAGAACAUGGAAGACCACGAGGGAAUUUACCGAUUUCUUCACUAAUUUAAAAUUCAUAAUCAAAUAUUUUAUUAAUUAUAUGUAUAACGAUAAAAGUUAAUGAGGGCACAAUAAAAACAUUAUCGUCAAAAAUACCAAAGAUAGUACUUUCACUCCACUUAGUUUUUUUUUUUUUAAAAAAAAUUCUAUCUUAAUUGUAAUAGAAAAAUAUUAUUUAUGUUUCUUAAUACUGUAAUGAGUUUUUUGUUUUAUUUUAAACUGAUUUAUUCAUUUAAAUUAUUAGGCUUAAAUAUUUUUUUUUAAAAAAAUAUACUUUAAUUUCAUUUUUUAAUUUAUUUUUUAAAUUUUAAUUAUUCAAUACUGAGAUAAAUAAUAUUUAAAAAUACUAAUGCAUAAUAAAAAAAUAAUUAUUAUAAUAAAUUACUAUUGUACUGUCUUAACUAAUUAAUUUAGUACACAAUAAAAAUUUGAAUACGAGUAACAAAUAAAUAAUGGAUUUCAUAAUUAUAUUUGACCAAAAUGAAUUUGAAUACAAAUGGAGUUUGGAAAACUACAGAUAUGAAUAGACUUUUCAAGUUUCAAAAUAUCUACAAUUAGAAAUUAGAAAUCAGAAAUCGUUAGGCAUUAUUUUAUAAAACCACAUUUUGAAUUUUAAAAUAAAUCUAUUUUAUAAGCUCUAUACAUGAUUAGCUUCCUACUUUGGUUGAUUUGAGCCCUUGUUUUAAGAAAAAUGCUACGGGCACACUCCUACAGGAUCCAAGGAUUAAUAAAACCUCUUUUAAAAUUUUUUUUUUAGAAAAAUGUCAAGAAAAGUGAAAAAAUAUGGAUCACAAGGUACCUGAGGUGUAAUCUAUUAUCUAUGCAAUUAUGUUAUAGGGUGCGUCAGCUGGAUCACAAGGAUAAGCUUUGAUUAAAUAAAAUUUAAAGUUGAAAUUUAAUUAUACGAUUUAAAUUUAAUUCUCUAAAUUUAAAUAUUAGAAUUAAAAUUUUGAGUUUAAAUCAUAAAUUAAAUUUAGUUUGGAUAUCCAAUUUAAAUUAACAAAAUAAAAAUUUUAAUUACAGUAUAUAAAAAAUAAAUAUUCAAUUUUAAAGUAAAUAUGAAUUAACUUUUGAUUCUUUUAGUUCAAAACACAUAUCUAAAUUUUGAUUCAUCAAAAAUUAAAAAAAUAUAAAUAAAAUACUUCAUGUAUGUAAUAAAAAAGAGCAAUAUAAGAUAUUGCAAAUACUUCCUAAUAAAAUAUAAUAUAUGAAUUUAUAAAAUAUAACUUUUAUUGUAAAUGUUUGGAUAAAUAUGUUAUACAAAUUUAUAUUGAUUUAAAUAAAUUAAAAUAAUUAUUGCGUGUAUUUGCACAUACACUUAGGCUUCGUUUGGUUUGAAUAUAAGAAAAAAACUGUGUAUUUAAGAGACAGAUAUAAGUUGAGGUGUUAGCCUAGAAUAGGCCAAUUUUGCAUUUGGAUAAAAAAUAGUGUUUGGAUUGAUAAGAUUAAAUAAAAAAGAUAGUGGAGAGUCGUAAAUAAAAAAUAAUGAUAUUGCCCUUUUUAUUAUAUUUGAAUUAAAAUUUUUAUAUUGUAUAUUUAAAAUUUUAAAUUUAAAUAUAUAACUCUUAAAUUUCAAAAAUACAAAAUUUAAAUUUAAAAUUGUAAAUAUCAAAUUCAAAAAUUUAAAGUUUUAAAUUUUAAAUUUAAGAUUAAAUCUGAAUUUAAAAAUAAAAUAUAAAAUAUAAAUUUUAAAAAUUAAAAAUAAUAAUUUAAAUGUCACGUCCCGGAUUUCACGUUCUUCGAGCACGCCGACAAAUCCGCCGUAUACAAAGAAAUUUUUUCUGUAUACAAAGCGAUAGCUGUAUUGAAUUUGAAAACAAACAACGUUACAACCAGUAGUAUAGAGCUGGUAAAAGAACUAGUAUAGAUAAAAACGUGGAUCAGUACAUACGCAGUAUCGUGGUACAAAACUCUCGCUCCAGCGAGAUAUAAUGUCAGUAUGUAAUGAACCAAAAACUACAACUACAUGUAGCUGCUCCACUAGCUCUGGCUCGUCUGGUAAGGCUCUAACUCGCGACGCCCUUGCCACGAUCUGUCUCAGAAGAAGCAGCAGCCGGAACAGCAGGCUCUGCAAAAAUAGUGAUAACAACUGGGCGUGAGAACUACUGUAAAACAAGUAGUUUUCAGUGGGUGCCACCCUCGACAUCAUUGGUCCACCCACUAAGUUUACAGAAGUAAGCAAGAAUAAUAGGAAAAGCUAGAAAAACUCUACAGCUAAAAUGCCACUACACUAUCAUGCUCUAACUCUAACCAUCUGUAGUAAAUGUCAAUCCUGACCCAAUCUCUCCAGGAAUUGUGAUACACCCGUCCCGCCUGUCAAAGCUACACUAACAACCACCACGCUGGGUAGUUAGUGGAGAGCAAGUCCAAUCAGGACACAACGACACCAACGCAAUAGCGCAAAGCCCGACUCCGGAGUGGCACUCGUGGGCGCUAUCCAACCGAGUAUGCAAGCGUAUCUCUGUCGAGCUCAAUCAGGCUCUCGCAGGCUAUAGUCAAGUACAUAGGGUCCAACUGGUCUACCAACCAACAAGUGACGUGCCCUCACCACAAUCUGAUGCCAGAACGGCAAUCCGGGUCCACCGUCAACCCCAACGGUAUCCGACAGUCCGGAACAGUAUAAACUCCACUGUAAAAAUAGGCUCAGCAUUUCAGCACGAGCGUAACAGUAAUCUACACUACCUGGGAUAUCCACCAUACUGAUACUGCGGCGAUAUAAAAUAAUAACGGCUCCUAGAGCUAAAUCUGGUAGUGUAAACAGGUGACAGGUCCAAAACGCUGGUUUUCUCCUAUGUCAUAUUUAAGUCCAACAUGUGCUAAUAGAUAUAGUCAAGAACAAGGCUCUAAUUCAGAUUUUAUUCAUAACUAUGCUAAAUUCAUGAAUCGAGCAAAUGCGAUAUACAAAACGUUAUUACGCACAUAUGCCGACUAUACAAAUAUACAUAGGAGAGAACCGACGAUUGACCCACCUCGAAAGCUAAACCCAAUCCGGCGCGACGUCGAGAACGGCGGAAUCGCACCCUUGUCCGGCCUCCCCGCAGCGCUAUGACGACGAAAACACGCUCGAACGGCACCGCGGCGCGACGUCGAAGACACCCGAACUCCCCCUGAGCUCCUCCACCACGCUCGGACAAGCACAAGGAGAAGAGAAAGAGAGAGUGCAGAAAUCCCUUCUUCUCUGUUCUCUCUUUCCUAUAUAGGGAGGGAGAGGGGUGGUGAUACGAUCAAGGCAAGAAAAUGACCAAAAAGCCCCCCUUACCUACCAAUGUGUACUGGUACACGUGCAUUUGUACCGGUACAAAUGGCAACCCAAGAGCAGCUGCGCGAGCACUGGCGAAAUGUACCGUUUACACCUCGAUAGUUGUACCGGUACAGAAAGAUGUACCGGUACACCUUGAUGGUUGUACCGGUACAACGGGCAGAAAAUCUGCAUUUUACAGAUUUCAGUGCUACAUCUCGCUCUCGCGUCUCUACUAAAUUUGUUUGGCGUCCAUUUCGCGCCAACGCGACUCGGACUUAUCCCAACACUCUCCCGAUGUGUCGACAAGCCCCAACCGCUGAAUUCCAGGAAUACUACAUUAAAAUUUGGAAUUUAAAAUAAUAAAUUUUAAUUUUAUGAUUACAAAUUAUAAAUUUUUAAAAUUUUAAACUUAAAUUUUAAAUUUAUAUUUAAAAAUUAAAUAUGGGGUUCCAAAGGUGGGGAUUAAGGGUGUCAAUGAGCCGAACACGAGGCGGCCCCACAUGAGUUGCCUCAUUAAAGUAUCUGAAAAAUUCAGCUCUUAUUCGGCUCGUUUAUUAACAAGCAGAACACGAGCUGGCUCACGAGCUAGCCAACGAAUAAUAAUAAGUUAAAUGGAUUAGAAUAGAUAUAGGUACAAAAUAAAAUUUAUAAAAUUUUAUUAUAAGCAUCAAACUUUGAUCUAAUGAUUCGUGAACGUCUACAAUCCAAAGAGCUCAUCACUGCUUAUGUUCCUACUCAUGAACAGUCUGUAGAAAUCUUCACAAAAGCUCUCGGUUUAGAUCGAUUUUCAAAUCUAUUGUCCAAAUUGGGCAUUGCGAAUCUACAUUCUCCAACUUGAUAGGAAGUAUUAGCAGGAUUUACAAAUCAAAUAUCGAUUUGAUCAAAAUUCUAAUUAGCCUAACUUAUCUUACAAAUGUGUAUGGUUUUAUAUACUUUCCAUUAUUAACAUUUUGCUCUUGGAAGAUAUGGUCAGCUUAGCUUUCUUUUAUUAUUAUUUCUUAUUUUAGAAUCAUCUUGUAUCAUAUUUAAGAUGGACGAAACGAUAUUAAUAAAAACAUAUUGAGUUCAACUUAUCAGUAAUUUGAGUCCGAGAAAAGUUCAAAACCGUAGUCAAGUUCUAAUUUUGAACAAAAAUCAAUCACCGGCAACACAAAUUGGUGAAUCCACAACCAAAUUAACCAUCAAAAAUCACUCUUUUGAGUCUUUUCCACGACACCCUAGCAUUCACCAACGAUCCCAAUCAAAUCACUUCCCUGGGAACUCCCAAUCUCAAUCGAACCCCAAUUCACGAACAGGAGAAGGAAAGGACUCACAUCAACGAUGGCGCCCGCGGCCUCGGUGAGCGUGGGGGAGAUGUCGAACAGGUCCCUCCUGAUCAAAUCAACCAGGGUGAGCUUGCGAAGAGAGAAAGAGAGAGACCUAGAGAGAGAGGGAGGGGUGGUAGGGGAGUUACACGUGGAGGUUUUUGGGGGAGUCUUGGAUGGAGUAGGUGGGGAGGUACUCCUCGAGGUUGAGACGGUUGAGAUCCAUCUCCGCGGCUCCGCGCUCGACGAGCCCAGAGCUUCGGCCAUGGCGGAGCUCCUCCAACAACACCACCCACAACAACAAGCGGAGGAGGAGGACGAAGACGACGACGCGCACUCUACCCCACUGCUCCUCCUAUUUUAUUUUUCCUUUUUAUUAUUGUUAUUAAAUUAAUAAUUAUUAUUAUUUUAUUAUUAUUUACUUUUAUCGGGUCCGAUCUGGUGGUUCCGUCCACUCCACCCGACUCGAAGUCUCCCGGUGCUCUUCCGUGAAUAAUAUUAUUAUAAAUAUAAAUUAGAUUAGAUAUAUAUACUGUUCUAUUUUAAUUAUAUAAAAUCAAAUAUUAAAUAAAAAUAUUAAAAAUAAAAAAUAAAAAUUCAAAUCCUCGCAGUGAAUCACCAUCGUGCAAAUCGCUUUAAUACUCGUGCCGAUCAUCAAUUUCCCCUUUUUUUUUCCCUUAAUUAUUUCGCAUAAAGGGCUAGAGACGGGCCUCGGACCAAAACCGGCCCGUUAAAGAUCCAAGCCCCAUUAAUUGUUAUUAUUAUUACUAAUCCAUUAAAUUGUGGAUUCGGGUUUCACUGACGCUUGUUUGCGAAUUGCGAAGCCCUUCUCUUCUCUCUCCCUCUCUCUCUCGAUCUCUCGACCGCCGCCAUGGCUACGACGUCGAAGCUCGAGAAGAAGAAGACGAAGAAGAAGAUGGAGGGGGAGGAGGAGCCCCACGAGUUUCGUGGCUACGGCGAUGGCGAUCGCGUUGAACCGGGUGGCGCUCGUAAGAAGUCAAAGAAGCGGAAGCUCCAAUCCAUGGAGGUACCGGAGGUUUCUAGGGUUAAGGACGAGAAGAAGAAGAAGAAGAAGAAGAAGGAUGAGAACAGAGAAGAAGAUGCUGUUGAGGAGGGAGAGGAGAGGAGGGGGGUGAUCACGGACGAGAGGUUCGCGGCGGCGCAAUACGACCCGAGGUUUCGGCGGAUGCCGCGGAAGGAGGCGAAGGUCACGAUCGACUCGCGCUUCGCCCGCAUGUUCACCGACAAGGACUUCGCAGCUUCGGCGGCGCCCGUCGACAAGCGGGGGCGGCCGAGGAAGGAGGGCGCGGUGAAUCCGAUGCUACAUUACUACCUUCAACAGGAUGGUGAGGAAGAAGAAGGUAGGUUGAAGCUUGAGGAGGAGGAGGAGGUUAAGGAGGGAUCGGAUGAAUCGGAGAGUGAUGAGACUACUACUACGACUACAGAUGAAGAAGAAGAUGACGAUGAUCAGGUGAUAGAUUGUUCUAAUUUUUUGCUUUAUGUUUGUAAAAAUUGAGUUUUAAUGCUGAAUUGUAUCAGAAAUAGUUGUUUGUUUAAUUUGGUUUCUAUAAAAGGUUAUAGAGGUCUAACCAUGCGAUUGUUUGUUGUUUGUGAAAAUUUCUAGUACUCUGUUAAUAGCGAUCUAUGUCGGUAUCUGAUGGCUAAUCACGAUGACACGCCGAUGAUCAAGAAUGAAACUCACCGGCUCGCAGUUGUUAAUUUGGAUUGGGAUCAUAUCAAGGUCUGUUAGGUUAUGAAUACAUUAUCUAUUUUGCUCUGUUACUUUUUUUUAAAAAAAAGUCAUAUGGGUUCAAUUUUGUGUUGUGCUUCUUGUUUAUCACUUUAGCCUGUUGAUCAUCACUUUGUUGGUUUCUUUUUUUUUCCCUUGCAUUGGUAGGCUGUUGAUCUGUAUGUGGUGAUGACUUCAUGUCUCCCAAAAGGCGGGCAAAUCCAUUCGGUGGCUGUCUAUCCAUCCGAAUUCGGACUCAAAUGCAUGGAAAUCGAAGCAAUUCAUGGACCAUCUGGUCUUUUUGAAGACAAUGAUGAUAAUAGCGAAGAUGACUCUGAUGUUGACGAUAACAAGUUACGCCCUUAUGAGCUCAACAAACUAAGGUAGCUACCAUUAUUCUAUGUUCUUUUGGAGCUAAUUCAUUUCUUUACAUAUGCACGAUUAUAUGGAGAUAAAGUAGAGGGAGAAAGAGAUACUUGAAUAUUUGCCAACAAUUUUGGUUGUUUAUUUUGCAUGAAGAAAUAAUUUUUGGAAAGCAAGUUUGCUGCAUAUUGUCCUGGGAAAGUGCAUUUGAUUGGCAAUCCUAUUGUGAUACAAAUUCUCAGCUGUGUUUUCUAUUUUUUGGACCUCUUGCAGGUAUUACAAUGCAGUUGUCGUAUGUGAUUCAAGUGCCACUGCAAAUCACUUGUAUAAGACUCUUGAUGGUACCGAGUUUUUGAAAACUUCUAAUGUGUUCGAUUUGCGAUCAUUCCCGAUUCCGUGGAGUUCAAACAUCCGCCUCGUGAUAUUGCAACCGAGGUAAUUCUUUCUUGCUGGUAGCAGCUGAAUGAAACUUCUUGCUUUGUGAUUAUACUAUUAAUCUAACAUGUGAUAUUAUUAUUACUACAUCUAUGGCUUUGUUUCGAAGAUACAUAAUUUCUUUCUUACUAGGAAAAGAAAAGUUAGAUUCUUAGUUAAAGUUGCAAUUUAAGCAAAGGCUACCUUUUUUCUCCUCUUUGCUCCUUUGGGAAUGACCGAAUCUCCUUUGAGGUUCCCGUGAAUUUGAGUUUUUUCCUCUAUAUAUGGAGUUCUAAUAAGCACAUGCUACAUUCUCAGAAAUACCUCACUCAUCUCUUUACUUAUUUUAGCACUAUUUAUUUAUUUCAUCAGAAUUUUUCAAUUCUAUUGCAUUAUGUCAGUUUGGCAAGUCCGCUUGUCGAUAAAAAACUUGCUAGUAAAUUUAUGCUGAUUGGUCCUUCAAAAAAUUGCUAUUGGAAAAUCUAUAUUUGUGGUAGUAAUUUCUAAAAUUGGUAGACAUGAACUCACUUGGAUAUAUGUGUUUAUACUCAGGCACCAGUGAACUACAAAGAACCAGAUUUCCAGACUCGUGCUUUG